UACGUAGGUGGCGAGCGUUGUCCGGAUUUAUUGGGCGUAAAGGGCGCGCAGGUGGUGUGGUGGGUCCGUCGUGAAAUCUCCUGGCUCAACUGGGAGGGUGCGGCGGAGACUGCCAGACUGGAGGCACUCGAGAGGCCGGUGGAAUUCCCGGUGUAGUGGUGAAAUGCGUAGAGAUCGGGAGGAACACCAGUGGCGAAGGCGGCCAGGCUGGGGGUGACCUGACGCUGAGGCGCGAAAGCGUGGGGAGCGAACCGG
rnacentral:rRNA from 1 species